UUGACCUCAAAUCAGGUAGGACUACCCGCUGAACUUAAGCAUAUCAAUAAGCGGAGGAAAAGAAACUAACAAGGAUUCCCUUAGUAACUGCGAGUGAAGAGGGAAAAGCUCAAAUUUAAAAUCUGGCAGUGUUUCACUGUCCGA
rnacentral:rRNA from 2 species